GUGUCAGCCGCCGCGGUAAAACGUAGGACGCAAGCGUUAUCCGGAAUUACUGGGCGUAAAGCGCGCGCAGGCGGGCGUGCAAGUCAGUCGUGAAAGCUCCCGGCUAAACUGGGAGAGGUCGGCUGAGACUGCAGGUCUUGAGGGUGGUAGAGGCGUGUGGAAUUCCGCGUGUAGUGGUGAAAUGCGUAGAUAUGCGGAGGAACACCAGUGGCGAAGGCGGCACGCUGGGCCACACCUGACGCGGAGGCGCGAAAGCAUGGGGAGCGAACGGGAUUAGAAACCCCGGUAGUCCAUGCCGUAAACGAUGUGCACUGGAUGUUCGGACAUCGCAAGAUGUGUGAGUGUCGAAGCAAACGCGAUAAGUGCACCGCCUGGGGAGUACGGUCGCAAGGCUAAAACUUAAAUGAAUUGGCGGGG
rnacentral:rRNA from 1 species